GUGGGGAAUAUUGGACAAUGGGGGGAACCCUGAUCCAGCCAUGCCGCGUGUGUGAAGAAGGCCUUUUGGUUGUAAAGCACUUUAAGCGAGGAGGAGGCUACCGAGAUUAAUACUCUUGGAUAGUGGACGUUACUCGCAGAAUAAGCACCGGCUAACUCUGUGCCAGCAGCCGCGGUAAUACAGAGGGUGCAAGCGUUAAUCGGAUUUACUGGGCGUAAAGCGCGCGUAGGUGGCCAAUUAAGUCAAAUGUGAAAUCCCCGAGCUUAACUUGGGAAUUGCAUUCGAUACUGGUUGGCUAGAGUAUGGGAGAGGAUGGUAGAAUUCCAGGUGUAGCGGUGAAAUGCGUAGAGAUCUGGAGGAAUACCGAUGGCGAAGGCAGCCAUCUGGCCAAAUACUGACACUGAGGUGCGAAAGCAUGGGGAGCAAACAGGAUUAGAUACCCUAGUAGUCC
rnacentral:rRNA from 1 species